AAACUGGUGAGCUAAAUAUAAGCUAUUGGGCUCAUAACCCAAAAAUAAGGUAUUCUUCCAGUU
rnacentral:tRNA from 1 species